CUGUUGUCAUGCACAAGGAAGGACACAGCCAAUGACAACCCUCAGCCAUCCAGGGAGAAGCUGUGUCUGCAGAGGACGGUCAUGAGCUGUGAGUCUAGAGACCUGUGAUUGUCUUCAGGGGCCUGUGGUCCUCGGCUUUCAUAGGAGUUGUGGGGGCACUGGCUCAAAUAGCAUCCACCAGGAUUCUAAUCAGAAUAUCUCAUUCACAGAAGGCAGUGGGUGAUAUGACAGUACAGAGGGACUCUGUGGGGCCAGCUGCAUGGAGCACUCUGGGAGAGUCACUGGCACCCGUGCUAGACAGAUCUUCAUUCAACUUCUGGAGCACACGGAUUUAGAUCUCUCUACAUCAUUUUGAAAGACCAUUUAUCAUUCUGAAGGAAACCACUGUAAUUAACUAAGUUGCUGUCACCUAUAUGAUCUCAGUAUUUUAAAAAUCAGCUUCCAGCCCAUAUGGUGAUUCAUGCUUAUAAUACCAGCAGUUGAAGAGGCUGAAAUGAGAGGAUUCUUUGAGCCCAGGAGUUCAAAAGAAACCUGGGCAACAUAGCAAGACCCAGUCUCUAUCAAAAGUUAAAAAAAAAAAAAGUGGGCAUGGUGAUGUGCACCUGUUGUCCUAGCUAUUUGUGAGGCCAAGGUGGAAGGAUUGCUUGAGCUUGGGAGGCUGAGGCUGCAAUGAGCAGUGAUUGCACCACUGCACUCCAUCCUGGGCACCAAAGCAAGACCCUAUCUCAAAAAAUAUAUAUCAUAAAAAUAAAAAUCAGCUCUCAUUGAUUUCUAUGUAAAUAUGCACAGGUGAUGUCCAUAUAGACAUAAAUAAUAAUAUUUCUGACAAUGGGUCCAUAUGACCUUCAAAAUGUACAAUGCCUAUCUGUGUAAUUGGUUAGUCUCAUUAAUGAAUGUAGAUUCAAUUCUACUUUCUUGUUCUAGAUAAAUUAUAUAAUCUAGCUUUUCAUUUCACUUAUUUACUGAUAACAACAGGAAGAAUGACAAGAUAGCUAUUUUGGAAAAUUACUCUGGUAGGAGUAAAGAUGAAACAAUGAUAGAAUUGCACGGAAAACUAGAAAAAAAGUAUGGUCUUCUGAUAUUCUAUCACAUCACAUACUAAAGGCCUCAUAAGACUCAGAUAUUUUAUCUAAAAAUGUUAUUUUCAUCUUAGGAAUGAUCAAAGCAUGAGACUACAAUUGUAUUAAAAUGUGCUUGUAUCACAAGCACAUGUGCUAAAAAGGAGGGGAAAACAUCACUACUGAUAUUUUAAACGUAUGUUUUACUUUUCAUCAACAUGAACCUCAACUUGAUAUUAUGCAGAUUGAAGGAAAUCACCCAUAAUUCCAUAUGAAGAAGGCCUGUGAUAUUUUAUGGGAAAAUAAAUAGAGAAAAUGCUAACAGCAACCCUAUUAAGCAUGAAGCUUUAUGGAGCAAACACAAAUCCAGUGGUGAAAGAUACACAUUCGAGUUCUGUUUGUUGUCUUGGAACAAUGCAGUUUAGAGGUGACUGGCG
rnacentral:lncRNA from 10 species